rnacentral:tmRNA from 1 species
CGCCUUGAAAACGACCCCGCAGCGCUUAUAACGGAAGCGCUGCCUCGGCAGCUAUGAUGGUAGAAGGUUUGGUGUAAUAGGCGCAGCGGACCCGGGGGCGGUACCCGGCGGCUCCACGGAAAGCGACGGUCGUGAUCGCCGUUUUCCGCGGGGCCGAACUAGGAUCGACGUGUGUUGAAAGACCAGAUUGCUGUCCGGCCUGAUUGCGCCGUAAAACCGAUCAUAUCCACAAGUGCCAACGACAACGAAGCACUCGCGAUUGCGGCGUAACUGACGGCCUAACGGCCUGACGUUACACCAAAAAAGCGCGGUCGGACCCCACCGGGCAACAGAAGGGGAUUCCA